UACGUACAAAUCACGAUCAAAACACCGGUUCCCGUACGAUCACCGAAGUUAAACAAGGUCGAGUCGGGUCAGUACCGAGAUGGGUGACUGCUUGGGAAUACCA